UGUACGUGUGUGCGUGUGUGUGUAAAGAGAGAGAGAGAAUGUGUGUAAUCACAGCAGUUGUAUUUUUCAACACCUAUUUAAACUUAAAAUCAAAGCUUGAUCUCCAAGUGUGACCUCAGAGUGACCGUUUCAAAGUGUGACAUCUUGUUCUCUUCACAUCUGACCCCAUCUCUAAGACUUGACUACUUCCAAGUAUGAGCUGAGCAUCCAUGAGUUAACCAUUGCUCCUUCAAAACGUCAGGCAGCGCACGUUCUUUCAAGGCUGACCUCCGCCUCCAAGAAUGAAGUAUGACUCAGUACUCCUCCAAGACGCAAAGCAAGCAAGACCUUCAAGUGUUAGUCCGGAGUCAAAGCACUUCAAGUUUUGCCCAAGUGCGACUAAGUGCUUGUCCAAAGCGCCGAACGACCAACGACUUCAAGGGUUAAUGCGAUGCGGCCAUCUCAAGUGUGACUUCAAUUCCGAGGAUGAGGAGAGACUUCAUACGAGUAUUAUGAAUCGACUCUGGGACGUCACACUUGAGCACCAGAUGACACGCUCGGCCUCGGAGGCAGACUUUGAAGCGCCACUGGCCGGCACGAAGGAAAGUUUCGAACCGCUUGAAGCUCUGAACGUUGGAUGCUAUUUGUUAUUAUCUUUUAUAAUCAUUGCUAUUAUCCUCAUUAUAAUUGUUAUUAUUAUCAUUAUAAUUGUUAUUAUUAUGAUUAUUAUCAUUGUUAUUAUUAUUAUUAUUAUUAUUAUUAACGUUAUUUUUAUUAUUAUUAUCAUUAUCAUAAUUAUUGCUAUCAUUACCAGUAUUAUUAUUAUUGUCAUUAUCACUAUUAUUAUUAUUAUUAUCACUCAUGCACAAUUUGUUAGAAUGAGAAGAAAAGUUCCUUACUGGAUCGUCACACUUCUGUCCACGUCAUCCUGAAGGCAGCCACGUCAUAACACUGUCAUCUUGGGUCAAAGUCCAGUGUGAAAAAGGUCAAUUACACACUUGAAAUGUCAUGAUGAGACGUCACACUUUUAGGUCAUACUUCGAUGUCACUUUACGAAUGUUAUGUUGAUGUUUCGUAUUAUCUGAAAUGCCGUUACUUUCAUUGGAAUCUUUGUUGAUUUCUAUAUUUUUAUUGAGUAUAUUUUUACCUAUCAGUAUCUGUGUGUCCUACUUUUUUUCUUUUUUUUUCUUUUUUGGUUUGUAUGAGGUUUUACACUUUUGUAAAAUUCUAGCGAUGCCAUAUUAAGCUAUAUUAUAUCACCAUCUUGAUUUAAAACCAUCUGUUCAUUUCGAAUUUUAUAUGUACGCUAUUUUGUCGAAAAUAAAAGAUGUACAUUUGGUAAA